rnacentral:rRNA from 1 species
GACGAAGGAUGCAAGCGUUAUCCGGAUUCACUGGGUUUAAAGGGAGCGUAGGUGGGAUGGUAAGUCAGUGGUGAAAUCUCCGGGCUUAACUCGGAAACUGCCAUUGAUACUAUUUGUCUUGAAUACUGUGGAGGUCAGCGGAAUAUGUCAUGUAGCGGUGAAAUGCUUAGAUAUGACAUAGAACACCAAUUGCGAAGGCAGCUGGCUACACAAAUAUUGACACUGAGGCACGAAAGCGUGGGGAUCAAACAGG